GUAGUUUGAUCCGUGGCUCAGAGCGAACGCUGGCGGCAGGCUUAACACAUGCAAGUCGAGCGGGCCCUUCGGGGUCAGCGGCGGACGGGUGAGUAACGCGUGGGAACGUGCCUUCUGGUUCGGAAUAACCCUGGGAAACUAGGGCUAAUACCGGAUACGCCCUUUGGGGAAAGGUUUACUGCCGGAAGAUCGGCCCGCGUCUGAUUAGCUAGUUGGUGGGGUAACGGCCUACCAAGGCGACGAUCAGUAGCUGGUCUGAGAGGAUGAUCAGCCACACUGGGACUGAGACACGGCCCAGACUCCUACGGGAGGCAGCAGUGGGGAAUAUUGGACAAUGGGCGCAAGCCUGAUCCAGCCAUGCCGCGUGAGUGAUGAAGGCCUUAGGGUUGUAAAGCUCUUUUAUCCGGGACGAUAAUGACGGUACCGGAGGAAUAAGCCCCGGCUAACUUCGCG
rnacentral:rRNA from 1 species